CGUGUAGGCGGCUUGACAAGUCAGAUGUGAAAGCCCUGGGCUUAACCCAGGAAGUGCAUUUGAAACUGUUCAGCUUGAGUAAGGGAGAGGAAAGUGGAAUUCCUGGUGUAGAGGUGAAAUUCGUAGAUAUCAGGAGGAACACCGGUGGCGAAGGCGACUUUCUGGCCCUAUACUGACGCUGAGACGCGAGAGCGUGGGUAGCAAACAG
rnacentral:rRNA from 1 species